GAUUCCCUCAGUAGCGGCGAGCGAACAGGGAUGAGCCCAGCGCCAAGUCCCGACACUCGCGUGUGUUCGGGAGAUGCGGCGUUGAUGCGGCUGCGCAUCGUGCGUUGAUACGCGUCUCAAGUUCCCUUGACAGGGACUCCCAGAGUGGGUGCUAGGCCCAUGGAGGCGCGUGUCUGGCGUACGCAGGCAGACGUAUUCUAGAGUCAGGUUGCUUGAGAGUGCAGCCUAAAGCAGGUGGUAAACUCCAUCUAAGGCUAAAUACUACAGCGAGACCGAUAGCAAACAAGUACUGUGAAGGAAAGUUGCAAAGAACUUUGAAGAGAGAGUUCAACAGGACGUGAAACCACCAACAGGCAAACGGAUGGAACCACGAAGUACGCCUGGUGCGCGGCUCAGCCGUGCCAGUCGGUGGUCGGCGCGUUGAGAGGGCUCGUCUCGGGUCGCUCGCGUGUCGUCCUAUGCCGGCUGGUGCGGUGCAUUUCGCAGCGCCAGUGCCAAAGCCACGUCCGAUCGGGUGACUGGAGCGGUUGUAGUACUGACCGGAAGGAAGGUGGCGUCUCACUCUCGGGUGCGACGUGUUAUAGCCUUUCGGUUGGACCGCUGCCGAGUGUGCCGAUCGGUGAAAGCUCUCCAGCAAUGGAGUGUGCGGUCGUCCGGCUGGGUGUGCCCUGUACUGUCGGUCAGUCGUUCUUGCGCGUUUCCGUAACGUGUCAAGACGGCUGGACGUGCGGUGCUUGUGCGCGCUCUGCUCGGGCGGCUCGCAACUGUGGUGCGAGUAGGUCGGUCUCCAUCCGACCCGUCUUGAAACACGGACCAAGGAGCCUACCAUGCACGCGAGUCGCUCGGUCUUGAACAGGCCCGGGAGGCGUAAUGAAAGUGAAGCUACGAGGCUGUAACAGGUCGCAGUAGCAGCCCGCCUGCUUUCUCUAUCGGGAAUAUGGCGGAGCCGGAGCGUGUACGGUGGUACCCGAAAGAUGGUGAACUAUGCCUGGGCAAGACGAAGUCAGAGGAAACUCUGAUGGAGGUCUGUAGCGAUUCUGACGUGCAAAUCGAUCGUCAGACCUGGGUAUAGGGGCGAAAGACUAAUCGAACCAUCUAGUAGCUGGUUCCCUUCGAAGUUUCCCUCAGGAUAGCAGGCGCUCGUUGUGACAGUCUCAUCCGGUAAAGCUAAUGAUUAGAGGUCUUGGGAGCGAAACGCUCUCAACCUAUUCUCAAACUUUAAAUGGGUGAGAUGCCCGACUCGCUCGAAUGGAGCCGGGCAAUUGGAUGUGUGGGCGCCUAGUGGGCCAGCUUUGGUAAGCAGAACUGGCGCUGUGGGAUGAACCAAACGUCGAGCUAAGGCAUCGAAUGCGUACGCUCAUGAGAUCCCAGAAAAGGUGUUGGUUGCUAUAGACAGCAGGACGGUGGCCAUGGAAGUCGGAAUCC
rnacentral:rRNA from 1 species